rfam:Salmo salar isolate Sally breed double haploid chromosome ssa14, whole genome shotgun sequence.
GUGGCUCAGUUGGUAAAGCAUGGUGUUUGCAACACCAGGGUUGUGGGUUCGAUUCCCACC